rnacentral:rRNA from 1 species
AUUGAACGCUGGCGGCAGGCCUAACACAUGCAAGUCGAACGAGUGGCGCACGGGUGUGUAACGUCUGGGAAACUGCCUGAUGGAUGGGGAUAACUACUGGAAACGGUAGCUAAUACCGCAUACCAUCAGAUGUGCCCAGAUGGGAUUAGCUUGUUGGUGGGGUAACGGCUCACCAAGGCAACGAUCCCUAGCUGGUCUGAGAGGGUGACCGGCCACACUGGGACGGAGACACGGUCCAGACUCCUACGGGAGGCAGCAGUGGGGAAUAUUGCGCAAUGGGCGCAAGCCUGAUGCAGCCAUGCCGCGUGUGUGAAGAAGGCCUUCGGGUUGUAAAGUUCUUUCAGCAGGGAGGCGUUACCCGCAGAAGAAGCAACGGCUAACUCCGUGCCAGCAGCCGCGGUAAUUC